UACAUAGGGGGCGAGCGUUAUCCGGAAUUAUUGGGUGUAAAGGGUGCGUAGACGGGAAAUUAAGUUAGAAGUGAAAUCCCCAGGCUCAACUUGGGAAUUGCUACUAAGACUGGUUUUCUUGAGUACUGGAGAGGAAAGUGGAAUUCCUAGUGUAGCGGUGAAAUGCGUAGAUAUUAGGAGGAACACCAGUGGCGAAGGCGACUUUCUGGACAGAAACUGACGUUGAGGCACGAAAGUGUGGGGAG
rnacentral:rRNA from 1 species